GUGACUGGAUCACAGGAACAGUUUCUCCCCUGUUGUUCUUGUGAUAGUGAGUCAGUUCUCACAAGUUCUGAUGGUUUUAAAGUGUGGCAUCCCCCCUCACUCUCUCUGCUGCUGCCAUGUAAGAUGUGCCUUGCUUCCCCUUUGCCUUCCACUAUGACUGCUUGUUUCCUGAGGCCUCACAGCCAUGCAGAACUGUGAGUCAGUUAAACCUCUUUUCUUCAACAAUUACCCAGUCUCUGGUACUUCUCUAAAGCAGUGUGAAAAUGGACUAAUACAGACUGCUUUCACACUAGACUUUUUCAAGCCUUUUCAAAAACCCUAUGAAUGUAUUGCAUAUUUAGAAAAUUAAACAUGGUCUGAAAUGAAUAUAUAAAAAGGCUUAGCACUUUAAGAAAUCAGAGCCAGCCGGGCGCGGUGGCUCACGCCUGUAAUCCCAGCACUUUGGGAGGCCGAGGUGGGCAGAUCACAAGGUCAGGAGAUCGAGACCAUCCUGACUAACACGGUGAAACCCCAUCUCUACUAAAAAUACAAAAAAUUAGCCGGGUGUGGUGGCGGGCGCCUGUAGUCCCAGCUAAUCAGGAGGCUGAGGCAGAAGAAUGGCAUGAACCUGGGAGGCAGAGCUUGCAGUGAGCUGAGAUCGCGCCACUGCACUCCAGCCUGGGCAACAGAGCGAGACUCCAUCUCAAAAAAAAAAAAAAAAUUCAGAGCCAUUUGCAAAGCCUAGUUCCUAGGCUAAGAACAGGAAUCAGAAGCGCUGCCUUUUCUGUGGUGUGAUGUUCACAAGAUGCUGGGUUCUACCACUCCAACUCUCCCCUCCUUAUCUCACUUAAUUAAGAGCAACAGUAAUAAUAACUAGCACCUGCUCACUACAUGCUAUGCACCUUUUCAGUGUUUUACAUGGAUUAGCACCAUUUAAUCCUCACAACAGACCUAUGAAGUAACUGAGGCACAGGAAAGAUUAUUUGAAGGUCAAAGCAGGUGAGUCAAAAUACAAACUCAGGCCGGGUGUGGUGGCUCAUGCCUGUAUUCCCAACACUUUGGGAGGUGAGGCAUGCAGAUCACUUGAGGUCAAGAGUUCAAGACCAGCCUGGCCAACAUGGUAAAACCCCGUCUCUACUAAAAAUUCAAAAAUUAGCCAGGCGUGGUAGUGUGUGCCUGUAGUUCCAGCUACUCAGAAGGCUGAGGCAAGAGAAUCGCUUGAACCUAGGAAGUGGAUGUUGCAGUGUGUCGAGAUCAUGCCACUGCCCUCCAGCUUGGACGACAGAGUGAGACUCUGUCUCAAAAAAAAAAAAAAAGAUACAAACUUGGGCAUUAUGGGUCCAGGACCCACACUCUUAACCGCAAUCCCACGAUGUCGCUCAUUUACGCAGCAAAUUACUCCAUUGGGGUUAGGCCUUGUUUCUCAAAAAAAAAAAAAAAAAAGGCUUUUGCAAAAAUGUUUCCUGGGAGGAUUAAUAGAGCACAUCUUUUAGCCAUUGUCUUUAGCACCUCUGAAAACAAGCACUUGUCACUAUGGAGACCAUGAAAUCCAGGAACAGGACAGAACACAAACAAGUACUAAAAGGGGAGUGGGAAGCAUUCGCAGAAUGUUCCAGAGCAGGGGGUGCCCACCGGACAGAGAUGUCAGAGCCCACAGAGGGACUGGGAAUGGGUAGGAUGUCUCUGGUGGGGCGACCAAAAAAUUUUACCAGCUCCCCAGCUUUCCAGAGAAAGCAGCCCAUUCUUUGGGACCCAGCUAAGUCCACUGGUAAGCAAGAGCAUGGCUUAUCUGUGUGAGUCAUCCAAUGAAACUACCAGCUUGUAUUUAUACCUACCCAGGAGGACACCCGCCAGGCUUUGUCAUUGCUGGUACAUCUGAGAAGAACACCUCCUGCUCUUUCUCUGGAGGGAGCUGGGUGACGAUACUACUAAACAGAUGCCAAAGCACAGAGCCCUCCCCUGCCCCACCUCCACCCUUCAGCCCUGGUGCGGGUCUUAUUGCUCACCAACUCUUGCUGCUUCUAUUUCUUCCUUCCCUAAUUCCUAAGGCCAAAAUCCAAGUUCAUUCAACAAAUCUUUAUUACUUGGCCUCUUACAUGGAUGGCCUCAUUCCAGGUGCUAUGGGGGAGAUAAGAACAGAAAUCCUGGUACCUGUAUGCCUAGAUUCAAAUCCCAGCUCUACCAUUUAAAAGCGGUGGGGCACUGGGCACAUUAGCCCCUCUGAGUCUGUUUUGCUGUCUCUAAAAUGAUAAUAUCUACCUCGCUGGCUUGAACCCAGGAGGAGGGUGCAGUGAGCCGAGAUCGCACCACUGCACUCCAGCCUAGGUGACAAGAGCAAGAUUCCAUCUCAAAAAAAAAAAAGAAAAAGCCAAUGGAAAACAAGAAACUAGCUAUGGAGGCAGAAAAGGGGCAGUCAGUGGGGUCAGAGACAAGGCAAGAAGCCAAAGAAGGGAUGGCCCUCUACUGCAUUUGGAAAAUAAGCCUGUGACAUAAAAGUACGCAUGCAUUUUUCUGAGGGCAAGAACCUGUAGGUUACAUUCUGAGGACCAUACAAAUCGGUUUUCCACCUAAGAAACUUCUCCAUGUAAAUUAUGUCGAGGUCGUCGCCAAAGAAGCUUUUUUCUCUCCAGGUGCUGUGGCUCACGUCUGUAAUCCCAGCACUGUGGGAGGCGGAUCACGAGGUCAGGAGAUCGAGACCAUCCUGGCUAACACCGUGAAACCCAGUCUCUACUAAAAAUACAAAAAAAUUAGCCAGGCGUGGUGGCGGGCACCUGUAGUCCCAGCCACUCGGGAGGCUGAGGCAGGAGAAUGGCAUGAACCCGGGAGGUGGAGCUUGCAGUGAGCUGAGAUCACGCCACUGCAUUCCAGCCUGGGUGACAGAGCGAGACUCCAUCUCAAAAAAAAAAAAAGGCUUUUUUUCUGAGAUGACACACUUCUACAAAAAUGCUUUCAUUUCUUCACCAAGUCUCUGCUAUUAUCUGACACCUGUCCGUCCCACCUUGGAUAGUACAAAAGUGACAAGAGGAUGCUAAAAGUUUUAAAGGGGCUGUUGAAAAAUAUGAGCUGGGAAACAUGUAGAGCUAAAUAUGAGCUCAGGUCAAUAUUAAAAUUGGAAGUAGGUCACAGAAUCCCAACCCCACAUAUUUGGAUCCAGCCCUUGGUGAGUGGGCCUUGGACUGUACUUCACAAUCCCAUCUUCACCUGCAGUUGUCCGGCCAACAUGGCCCCUUCCCGCCUGCCCUUUCCUAACCACCUCCUCUCUCUCUAGUGAAGACACUGAGCUCGCAGCCAUGCUGGUUGCACACUGCCAUUUUCUACAGGUUCUCAAGUGCAUGGGCUGCCAAGAGGGUUGGGUGUUUACAUUUAUUUUUAAUAGAAAUGGGGUCGUACCCGGGGCAUCUCUUUUCUGCAUACUGCAAUGUUGCUAGAUACACAAUCAGACACCAGAGGGUUGGGCAUUCUUGCAAUACCUUAACAGUGCUGAAACCUGCAGCAUGGUACUAAGGAAGUUAAAGUUAGAAUGUAACCACUUUAUUUAAAAGGUUUUUUUCUUUAAUUUAAAUGAAAUGGGGUUGAAGUGAACAUGAUUUUGUUGACCAUGUUCGUGAAUUAUAGAUGCAACAUGCAUUGGUAGAAUCGUGUGAUGGUCUUUUGUGAUACUUAAUUUUUACAUAUCCCAGUCUCUGUAUGUAUCUGCACAAAGAAAAAACAAACUCCUGCUUUGCUCUUAUUGAAGGGUUCCCAGGACUGCGUGUCUGCUCCUGAGCUCUGUUUUAAGUAUGUGUAUCCUUUGCUUGUAUUUUGUAUUUAAAAAGUAAGAAAAAGAACCCUUUAUUGUUGAGCAUGUUGGCAUCGUCCCGUUUAUUUUUUUCUCUUUUUGGGACAUAUGAAGCAAGUUAUUCUUUUUCUGUAUCUUUUUUUCUUUUGUAAACUUUUUGUUUUUUUCUUGUUUAAAAUUGGCUUUAUAAAAGGGCUUUUAUAACCCACCCCCCCCCCAAAAAAAAGAAAUGGGGUCCCACUAGGUUGCCCAGGCUAGCUUUGAACUCCUAGGCUCAAGCAAUCCUCCCACUCUGGCCUCCCAAAGUGCUGGGAUUAUAGGCGUGAGCCACCAUGCCAAGCUGGGCGUUAAAAAAAAAAAAAAGUCUGUGAAGCAAGAGUUGCAGGAAAAAAAAGAAUUAAUUAAUUAAUUGGGGGGAAAAAGCUGAAAGAAAAUCAACCGUAUUAAUAGUAAUUAUUUCUGAGUGGUGGGAUCACGAGUCCUGUAUUUCCUUCUAUGCAAUUAAUAUUUUCUAAAAUAUACAUGCAUUGCUUUAAGACAAGAAAAAUAUUUGCUGUUUUAUCAAGAGGCCUAGAGGUGGCAAACAACGUCUGGAUCCGUACACCACCGCUGGAGGAAUGCAGAGGCGGGCGGGGGCGCGACAGGCUGCUAGGCACCGUGCCCACUGUCUGUCCUGUAGCUUCCUACCAGCCCGAAACACUGAGGUUUCCAGAGGCAGCGAGGCAAAAGGGCCAGACAUUUUUCUGGUUAACACUCCAUGUAUUCAGUUUCCAAAGGUGCUAGGCCAGGGCGGUGAGGCCGACCUUGGCCAGGCUGUGGGUGGGUUGCUUGACUAGGCCAGAGAGUAAAUCAGUAGAAUUCCCACAGGCCCCAUCUGUGGGUGCGAGGCCAAAGUCCAUCGGCCCCACGGCUUUUCCGUGCUGGGAGGGAGGAAGGCAGAGGACGGCACAGGGAGGCUGGGAGGGAGGAAAGCAGACGACGGCACAGGGAGGUGCCCUACUCGCGGUUCAUGUCAUCACUUUCUCUUUCUGACAGUUCCUUGGGCUGCUUUAAGUGGAUAGCAGAGGCCACCUUCUAGAUAUAGAAAGAAACUGAAUGUCCAGAGUGUGAACUGGCCUGCUUGUAUCUCCCCUCAGCGGCAGUGGUGGUUGCCAGCCUGGCUUGCGUUUGCCCAAAAGUAAUAGUAAAGAGCUCUGACCACUGCUGUUCACCCUAAACUUGGGGCUGCUGUACUUGUAGGCUUUGGAAAGCAUGGAGGGGUUUCCACAUAUUAAAAAGGAAAAGGGCACCAGGUCUGUGCUCUGUGACCCCAUCACGCAACGGAAUGACACACAGCUAUGAAGAAUGAGGCUGCUCCACAUAUGCUGGGACUGAGAAAGGUUUUUGUGUUUUGUUUCGUUUCUGAGACCAAGUUUCACUCUUUGUUGCCCAGGUGGGAGUGCAAUGGCGCGAUCUCA